CAGUCCCCAGCUCCUCCCUGCAUUGCGGAGGAAGUGCGGCCCCGGGACCCCCGCGGGCCGGCCUAGGGCACGGCGUCAGCCUCUGCCGCGUGUUUCUGCCUGGUGUGUGGGUGAGGGAAACCUAAGUCCGCCAGGAAAUCGCCUUAUUGUCACCUCGCACUCUUGUCCUCAAUGAAAGAAGUUUGAAGAUUGGGUGUCCUACAAGGUGAUUUUCCUGCAUGGAUUGGGAGAUACUGGAGACGGGCUCGCUCUGUCGCCCAGGCUGGAGUGCAGUUGCAGGAUCUUAGCUUACUGCAGCUUUGAACUCCUGGGCUCGAGUGAUCCUUCAGCCUCAGCCUCUCAAAGCACAGAGAUUACAGGCACGGAUGGGCAGAAGCCUUUGCAGGUAUCAGAAGUUCACAUAUCAAAUAUAUCUGCCCGCAUGCGCCUGUUAGGCCUGUUACAUUAAAUAUGAACAUGGCUAUGCCUUCAUGGUUUGAUAUUAUUGGGCUUUCACCAGAUUCACAGGAGGAUGAAUCUGGGAUUAAACAGGCAGCAGAAAAUAUAAAAGCUUUGAUUGAUCAAGAAGUGAAGAAU
rnacentral:sRNA from 1 species